rnacentral:lncRNA from 1 species
GUCCUUCCGCCUUCUGCCAUGGGAUGACACAGCAAGAAACCCCUUGGCAGAUGUGGGCCUCUCGACCUUGGACUUCUCAGCUUCCAGAACUAGGAGCCAUUGAAGAAUCCUGUUGUCCUAUCCCAGAAGGAUCAAGGGGACAACACUGAUAUCCUGACCGCUGACCAUCCACCACCACUUAAAGCCACACUCUCCUCUUUGGUCUUUCCUGGUACACAGCAUACAAGCCCACAGAUUGAGGACUCUGCACUUGCUGUUCUCUCUGCCUGGAGCUCUAUGGCUCCAGAUAGACUCCUGCCAACUCCUUCGCCUUGUUCAGGUUACCUUCAUUAAAUGUCAGCUUAAAUGUGUGCCUACUUUUUGCCCUACCUGGAAUUGCAAGCACCUCUCACCACUGUGCUCCCAUUCUCCUUAACUUAAGCCACUUUUAUUUUCAUAAUAAAGCCACAUAUUUUUUCUUAUUAUAUCAUAAUCACACUGUAUAAUUUAUAUUUUAUUACUUUUGUUUGUAUACUUAUUCUAUGUUUCUGUUCACAAGGAUGUAAACCCCAUGAACACAGAGAUCUUUGAUUGUUUUAUUAACUGAUUUAUGCCAAAUGUUUGGAACAAUGCCUGGCACACAGCAGAUGUUUGAUAAAUAUUUUUUUUCUGAAUGAAUAAAUACGUUUUAGCCAAAUAUGCUGA